UACGGGGGGGGCAAGCGGUUGUUCGGAAUCACUGGGCGUAAAGGGUGCGUAGGCGGGUCUUAAGUCAGGGGUGAAAUCCUGGAGCUCAACUCCAGAACUGCCUUUGAUACUGAAGAUCUUGAGUUCGGGAGAGGUGAGUGGAACUGCGAGUGUAGAGGUGAAAUUCGUAGAUAUUCGCAAGAACACCAGUGGCGAAGGCGGCUCACUGGCCCGAUACUGACGCUGAGGCACGAAAGCGUGGGGAGCAAACAGG
rnacentral:rRNA from 1 species